GGGAUAUAGUUCAAUGGAAGAAUAAUAAUCUCCAAAAUUAAAGAUGGGGGUUCGAAUCCCCUUAUCUCC
rnacentral:tRNA from 1 species